AUGGUGGGUAUGCUGAAGAAGACCACUGACCUUGUGGGAUUGGCUAUGUGCAAGAAUCCACACGAGAGGCUAAGAAUAUCGCACACAAGGAUUCUUGAUGUUCUUGAGGAAAUCCCUAAAAUUGCAGCACAUAGAAAGUAUACAGAACAGAUUACAAAUGAGAAGCUGGGUUAAAGCAGAAACAGAUGUUAAAAAAUUAGACGAUAAACUUCAAGGUGGUCAUAUAGAAGAGGUGAUUCUUAAGACUGAACAUGAACUAAGUUUGGCAAGAAAAAUGGUAAAAAUGGUGCAAUGAAAACCAUGGGAGCCAUUAAUAGAAGAGCCUCCUGCUGAUCAGUGGAAAUGGUCAAUAUAAUUAUUAAGUGACUUUGAUGGUUUGAUGGGAAACUGAUACAAUGAAAUAUUCUGUUAUAUUAAGAGCCUGUUCAUAUUACUGACAUUUUAUAAUCAAGAAAAGUGACACAGAAAAUAUCUAGGAGACUAUUAAAAUUAGUGAUUAUGAUAAUACAGUCAGGUGAAUCCAUUUUUGAUUUGUAAAGUAGUCACACAAAUUAUUUCAAAGAUGAUAUUUCUACAGAGAGGUCAUGGGAAGAUUUGAAAAUUAAUUAGAAAAAUUCCUACAGAUCUUCAAUGUAGAGGCCAUAAUCAAAAAGUAAACUUUCUUUAGUAGUAUAUUUAGUACAUCAUUUAAUUUUUUUAAUUAUCCUAAAGAAGAAAAGGUCCUUAAUUAUUACGAUCUAAACAAAUUUAUAGAUCACUGUUUGAAGUAAAUAAUGAGUAAAUAUUUGCAAAUGUGAUAAAAUAGCACAAGUGGCUGGUGAUAAAAUUUGAAAUUAUGGUUAACGUCCUUAGCUGUGAUCUUACGUAUGUAAGGUAAAAUUUAAAUACAUAAUUAUAUAUUGAUUGCA